CCCUUAGAGUUUGAUCCUGGCUCAGGAUGAACGCUAGCUACAGGCUUAACACAUGCAAGUCGAGGGGAAACGACAUCGAAAGCUUGCUUUUGAUGGGCGUCGACCGGCGCACGGGUGAGUAACGCGUAUCCAACCUGCCCACCACUUGGGGAUAACCUUGCGAAAGUAAGACUAAUACCCAAUGAUAUCUCUAGAAGACAUCUGAAAGAGAUUAAAGAUUUAUCGGUGAUGGAUGGGGAUGCGUCUGAUUAGCUUGUUGGCGGGGUAACGGCCCACCAAGGCAACGAUCAGUAGGGGUUCUGAGAGGAAGGUCCCCCACAUUGGAACUGAGACACGGUCCAAACUCCUACGGGAGGCAGCAGUGAGGAAUAUUGGUCAAUGGGCGAGAGCCUGAACCAGCCAAGUAGCGUGUAGGAAGACGGCCCUAUGGGUUGUAAACUGCUUU
rnacentral:rRNA from 1 species